rnacentral:ncRNA from 1 species
UAGCUUAAUAACAAAGCAAAGCACUGAAAAUGCUUAGAUGGAUAAUUGUAUCCCAUAAACACAAAGGUUUGGUCCUGGCCUUAUAAUUAAUUAGAGGUAAAAUUACACAUGCAAACCUCCAUAGACCGGUGUAAAAUCCCUUAAACAUUUACUUAAAAUUUAAGGAGAGGGUAUCAAGCACAUUAAAAUAGCUUAAGACACCUUGCCUAGCCACACCCCCACGGGACUCAGCAGUGAUAAAUAUUAAGCAAUAAACGAAAGUUUGACUAAGUUAUACCUCUUAGGGUUGGUAAAUUUCGUGCCAGCCACCGCGGUCAUACGAUUAACCCAAACUAAUUAUCUUCGGCGUAAAACGUGUCAACUAUAAAUAAAUAAAUAGAAUUAAAAUCCAACUUAUAUGUGAAAAUUCAUUGUUAGGACCUAAACUCAAUAACGAAAGUAAUUCUAGUCAUUUAUAAUACACGACAGCUAAGACCCAAACUGGGAUUAGAUACCCCACUAUGCUUAGCCAUAAACCUAAAUAAUUAAAUUUAACAAAACUAUUUGCCAGAGAACUACUAGCCAUAGCUUAAAACUCAAAGGACUUGGCGGUACUUUAUAUCCAUCUAGAGGAGCCUGUUCUAUAAUCGAUAAACCCCGCUCUACC